UCAAUCCUUCUAUGGUUCACUUGGUA
rnacentral:piRNA from 1 species